GUCUUUUUGAUAAAUAAUUUAAAGUCUAAUCUGCCCCCUGAAAUUAUUUUAAAGGGCUGCGGUAUUUUAACCGUACAAAGGUAGCAUAAUAAUUAGGUUUUUAAUUGAAAUCUAGAAUGAAUGAUUGGACGAGAUACAAGCUGUUUUAUAAUAAUUAAUUAAAAUUUAAUUUUUUAGUCAAAAAGCUAAAAUUUUAUUAAAAGACGAGAAGACCCUAUAAAUCUUUAUAAUAAAUUUAUUUUAAUAAAUUAUUUUAUUUAAAUUAGUGAUUUUAAUAUUAAAUUAUUUUAUUGGGGUGAUACAAAAAUUUAAUUAACUUUUUUAUUAAAAUUCCUUAAAUUAAAGAUUUAUAAAAAUAUGAUCUAUUAUUAAUAAUUCAGAGAGUAAGAUACUUUAGGGAUAACAGCGUAAUUUUAAUUUUAAGUUCUUAUUAAAAUUAAAGAUUGCGACCUCGAUGUUGGAUUAAAAUUUAAUUUAAAUGCAAAGGUUUAAAAAUUAAGUCUGUUCGACUUUUGAAAUUUU
rnacentral:rRNA from 1 species